rnacentral:ncRNA from 1 species
CUCGAGAUUUUACUUUGAAAACAUAAGAGGGGCUCCAAGCAGGUUGUGAUGCCUGAAUAAUGGUGCAUGGAAUAAUAGAAUACGAUCUCGGUUCUAUUUUGUUGGUUUUCGAACCGGAGAUAAUGAUUGAAAGGAACAGACGGGGGCAUUCGUAUUGCUGCGUUAGAGGUGAAAUUCUUGGAUCGCAGCAAGAUGAACAAUUGCGAAAGCAUUUGCCAAGAAUGUUUUCAUUAAUCAAGAACGAAAGUUAGAGGUUCGAAGGCGAUCAGAUACCGCCCUAGUUCUAACGGUAAACUAUGCCAACCAGCGAUUCGCCGAAGUUCAUUUAAGACUCGGCGAGCAGCUUCCGGGAAACCAAAGUGUUUCGGUUCCGGGGGAAGUAUGGUUGCAAAGCUGAAACUUAAAGGAAUUGACGGAAGGGCACCACCAGGAGUGGAGCCUGCGGCUUAAUUUGACUCAACACGGGAAAACUCACCCGGCCCGGACACUGGAAGGAUUGACAGAUUGACAGCUCUUUCUUGAUUCAGUGGGUAGUGGUGCAUGGCCGUUCUUAGUUGGUGGAGCGAUUUGUCUGGUUAAUUCCGAUAACGAACGAGACUCUACCCUAUUAAAUAGUGACAGUAUUGUAUUUUUUUGUGCUGAUCACUUUCUUAGAGGGACUGGGCAAAUUGGAAAGCUGCACGAAAAAAGAGCAAUAACAGGGUCUGUGGAUGCCCCUUCCAAUGUCCCGGGGGCUGCCACGCGCGCUACAAAUGAAAAGCCGUCAACGUGGAGUUACCUUCCUUUACCUGAAAAAGGGUUUGGCAAUCCAAAGGAAAACGUUUUUCUUGAAUGGGAAAUAGGGAAUGGCAAUUGUUUUCCCUUUGAACAGAGAAAUUCCCCAGUAAACCGUGGGGGAUUUAACUCCCCGUGAAUACCCCCCUGGCCCUCUUGUUAACACAGACAGUCGUAAAUACCGCAAUGG